UACGAAGGGGGCUAGCGUUGCUCGGAAUUACUGGGCGUAAAGCGCACGUAGGCGGCUUUCUAAGUCGGGGGUGAAAUCCUGGAGCUCAACUCCAGAACUGCCUUCGAUACUGGAGAGCUUGAGUCCGGGAGAGGUGAGUGGAACUGCGAGUGUAGAGGUGAAAUUCGUAGAUAUUCGCAAGAACACCAGUGGCGAAGGCGGCUUCCUGGCCUGUUCUUGACGCUGAGGCGCGAAAGCUAGGGGAGCAAACGGG
rnacentral:rRNA from 1 species